UGAACGCUGGCGGCGUGCCUAAUACAUGCAAGUCGAGCGAACAGACGAGGAGCUUGCUCCUCUGACGUUAGCGGCGGACGGGUGAGUAACACGUGGAUAACCUACCUAUAAGACUGGGAUAACUUCGGGAAACCGGAGCUAAUACCGGAUAAUAUAUUGAACCGCAUGGUUCAAUAGUGAAAGACGGUUUUGCUGUCACUUAUAGAUGGAUCCGCGCCGCAUUAGCUAGUUGGUAAGGUAACGGCUUACCAAGGCAACGAUGCGUAGCCGACCUGAGAGGGUGAUCGGCCACACGGGAACUGAGACACGGUCCAGACUCCUACGGGAGGCAGCAGUAGGGAAUCUUCCGCAAAGGGCGAAAGCCUGACGGAGCAACGCCGCGUGAGUGAUGAAGGUCUUCGGAUCGUAAAACUCUGUUAUUAGGGAAGAACAAAUGUGUAAGUAACUAUGCACGUCUUGACGGUACCUAAUCAGAAAGCCACGGCUAACUACGUG
rnacentral:rRNA from 1 species